rnacentral:lncRNA from 1 species
CCUUCCUCUUCACUUUCUAGUCUGAUUUUUUUCAUGGCUACCACUUGACCUGUAGUUUUGUGUCUACCCUUAUACACAACUCCAUAGGUACCUUCUCCAAUUUUCUCUAUUUUGGUAUAAUCUUCCAUAGUUAGUCAAUGGGUAUGGUAGAUCCCGGCUUAUUAUUCCGCGGCGGCCGCAGCGGCAGCUACAACAACCGCGUCGCUCUCCGCUCAAUUUCCAAGAGCCAGCUUUG